rnacentral:rRNA from 3 species
AGCGUACACGGUGGAUGCCCUGGCAGUCAGAGGCGAUGAAGGACGUGCUAAUCUGCGAAAAGCGUCGGUAAGGUGAUAUGAACCGUUAUAACCGGCGAUGUCCGAAUGGGGAAACCCAGUGCAAUUCGUUGCACUAUCGUUAACUGAAUACAUAGGUUAACGAGGCGAACCGGGGGAACUGAAACAUCUAAGUACCCCGAGGAAAAGAAAUCAACCGAGAUUCCCCCAGUAGCGGCGAGCGAACGGGGAGCAGCCCAGAGUCUGAAUCAGCUUGUGUGUUAGUGGAACGGUCUGGAAAGUCCGACGGUACAGGGUGAUAGUCCCGUACACCAAAAUGCACAGGCUGUGAACUCGAAGAGUAGGGCGGGACACGUGGUAUCCUGUCUGAAUAUGGGGGGACCAUCCUCCAAGGCUAAAUACUCCUGACUGACCGAUAGUGAACCAGUACCGUGAGGGAAAGGCGAAAAGAACCCCGGCGAGGGGAGUGAAAAAGAACCUGAAACCGUGUACGUACAAGCAGUGGGAGCACCUUCGGGUGUGACUGCGUACCUUUUGUAUAAUGGGUCAGCGACUUAUAUUCUGUAGCAAGGUUAACCGUAUAGGGGAGCCGCAGGGAAACCGAGUCUUAACUGGGCGUUAAGUUGCAGGGUAUAGACCCGAAACCCGGUGAUCUAGCCAUGGGCAGGUUGAAGGUUGGGUAACACUAACUGGAGGACCGAACCGACUAAUGUUGAAAAAUUAGCGGAUGACUUGUGGCUGGGGGUGAAAGGCCAAUCAAACCGGGAGAUAGCUGGUUCUCCCCGAAAGCUAUUUAGGUAGCGCCUCGUGAACUCAUCUUCGGGGGUAGAGCACUGUUUCGGCUAGGGGGUCAUCCCGACUUACCAACCCGAUGCAAACUACGAAUACCGAAGAAUGUUAUCACGGGAGACACACGGCGGGUGCUAACGUCCGUCGUGAAGAGGGAAACAACCCAGACCGCCAGCUAAGGUCCCAAAGUCAUGGUUAAGUGGGAAACGAUGUGGGAAGGCACAGACAGCCAGGAUGUUGGCUUAGAAGCAGCCAUCAUUUAAAGAAAGCGUAAUAGCUCACUGGUCGAGUCGGCCUGCGCGGAAGAUGUAACGGGGCUAAACCAUGCACCGAAGCUGCGGCAGCGACACUAUGUGUUGUUGGGUAGGGGAGCGUUCUGUAAGCCUGCGAAGGUGUGCUGUGAGGCAUGCUGGAGGUAUCAGAAGUGCGAAUGCUGACAUAAGUAACGAUAAAGCGGGUGAAAAGCCCGCUCGCCGGAAGACCAAGGGUUCCUGUCCAACGUUAAUCGGGGCAGGGUGAGUCGACCCCUAAGGCGAGGCCGAAAGGCGUAGUCGAUGGGAAACAGGUUAAUAUUCCUGUACUUGGUGUUACUGCGAAGGGGGGACGGAGAAGGCUAUGUUAGCCGGGCGACGGUUGUCCCGGUUUAAGCAUGUAGGCUGAUUGUCCAGGCAAAUCCGGAUAAUCAAGGCUGAGGUGUGAUGACGAGGCACUACGGUGCUGAAGUAACAAAUGCCCUGCUUCCAGGAAAAGCCUCUAAGCAUCAGGUAACAUCAAAUCGUACCCCAAACCGACACAGGUGGUCAGGUAGAGAAUACCAAGGCGCUUGAGAGAACUCGGGUGAAGGAACUAGGCAAAAUGGUGCCGUAACUUCGGGAGAAGGCACGCUGGUGUGUAGGUGAAGUCCCUGCGGAUGGAGCUGAGACCAGUCGAAGAUACCAGCUGGCUGCAACUGUUUAUUAAAAACACAGCACUGUGCAAACACGAAAGUGGACGUAUACGGUGUGACGCCUGCCCGGUGCCGGAAGGUUAAUUGAUGGGGUUAUCCGUAAGGAGAAGCUCUUGAUCGAAGCCCCGGUAAACGGCGGCCGUAACUAUAACGGUCCUAAGGUAGCGAAAUUCCUUGUCGGGUAAGUUCCGACCUGCACGAAUGGCGUAAUGAUGGCCAGGCUGUCUCCACCCGAGACUCAGUGAAAUUGAACUCGCUGUGAAGAUGCAGUGUACCCGCGGCAAGACGGAAAGACCCCGUGAACCUUUACUAUAGCUUGACACUGAACAUUGAGCCUUGAUGUGUAGGAUAGGUGGGAGGCUUUGAAGCGUGGACGCCAGUCUGCGUGGAGCCAACCUUGAAAUACCACCCUUUAAUGUUUGAUGUUCUAACGUUGGCCCCUGACCGGGGUUGCGGACAGUGUCUGGUGGGUAGUUUGACUGGGGCGGUCUCCUCCCAAAGCGUAACGGAGGAGCACGAAGGUUAGCUAAUCCUGGUCGGACAUCAGGAGGUUAGUGCAAUGGCAUAAGCUAGCUUGACUGCGAGCGUGACGGCGCGAGCAGGUGCGAAAGCAGGUCAUAGUGAUCCGGUGGUUCUGAAUGGAAGGGCCAUCGCUCAACGGAUAAAAGGUACUCCGGGGAUAACAGGCUGAUACCGCCCAAGAGUUCAUAUCGACGGCGGUGUUUGGCACCUCGAUGUCGGCUCAUCACAUCCUGGGGCUGAAGUAGGUCCCAAGGGUAUGGCUGUUCGCCAUUUAAAGUGGUACGCGAGCUGGGUUUAGAACGUCGUGAGACAGUUCGGUCCCUAUCUGCCGUGGGCGCUGGAGAAUUGAGGGGGGCUGCUCCUAGUACGAGAGGACCGGAGUGGACGCAUCACUGGUGUUCGGGUUGUCAUGCCAAUGGCACUGCCCGGUAGCUAAAUGCGGAAGAGAUAAGUGCUGAAAGCAUCUAAGCACGAAACUUGCCCCGAGAUGAGUUCU